AGGGCACCACCAGGAGUGGAGCCUGCGGCUUAAUUUGACUCAACACGGGAAAACUCACCCGGCCCGGACACUGGAAGGAUUGACAGAUUGAGAGCUCUUUCUUGAUUCAGUGGGUGGUGGUGCAUGGCCGUUCUUAGUUGGUGGAGUGAUUUGUCUGGUUAAUCCCGAUAACGAACGAGACUCUAGCCUACUAAAUAGAUCGUCGGCUUACAAACGCCGGCGAGACUUCUUAGAGGGACAGGCGGUGAUUCAACCGCACGAAACAGAGCAAUAACAGGUCUGUGAUGCCCUUAGAUGUCCGGGGCCGCACGCGCGCUACGCUGAAGUGAUCAGCGUGCUUUUUCAACCUACUCUGUCAAGAGUGGGGAACCCAAUGAACCUUCUUCGUGAUUGGGAUAGGGGAUUGUAAUUAUUCCCCUUGAACGAGGAAUUCCCAGUAAGCGCGAGUCAUAAGCUCGCGUUGAUUACGUCCCUGCCCUUUGUACACACCGCCCGUCGCUACUACCGAUUGAAUGUUUU
rnacentral:rRNA from 1 species